CUACGGAGGGUGCAAGCGUUAAUCGGAAUUACUGGGCGUAAAGCGUACGUAGGCGGUUCGUUAAGUUAGAUGUGAAAGCCCCGGGCUUAACCUGGGAACUGCAUUUAAAACUGGCGAACUAGAGUUGAGUAGAGGGGAGUGGAAUUUCAGGUGUAGCGGUGAAAUGCGUAGAGAUCUGAAGGAACACCAGUGGCGAAGGCGACUCCCUGGACUCAAACUGACGCUGAGGUACGAAAGCGUGGGUAGCAAACGGGAUUAGAUACCCCAGUAGUCC
rnacentral:rRNA from 1 species